AUUAAAUACUUCUAGUGAUCCACGAGGAUCUCUGGGCAAUGGAGUUAUUACAGGUGGUGAUUGCUUAUUGGAUGAGGAUGACCUGCCAGUAGGUUCCAUAUCACUGCAAAAAAUAUGUACAUAAAAAUACAGAACAAAAUUGUAAGAAUUCAUGAAUUUUAUAUAAAUAUUUUAGGACGGCUCAAUAACUUAUCUUAUUACUAAUACUUCACUCGUAUUUCUAUUUUGAAAAUAUUUAAUUAAUUAUUACAAUACUAUUUAUGUAAUGAUUUAUUACACUGAUAUUAUUUGUAAAUUAAUUCUAAAAUUGAAAUGUAAUUGGUGAAAUAUAUAUUAGACAUAAGAAGAACUAUAUAUCUAUGCAUAGGAUGUGAUUAAAUUUAUAGAGGGAAAAGAAUAAAAAACUGCAUGGCCUGUAGAAAGAAGAUUACAUGUGUAGGGAAAUGUCUGGUGGCAGGGAGUGAAAUGCAGUCUAGAUUAAGCUGGCUAGACUAGACAGAACAAACAUUAAAAGUUUCACUUUCAGUAUACAGGGUGGGGCAAUGAUAUGAACUGGAGUUUGGGACAUGGAAUGGAAAGGGUGAUAUUUUGAAAAUAAAAUAUGUGGUGAGGAAGAAAUAUACAAGUCAAUGGAUGGAUUUAUUAUUAUGGAAAAAAGAAGAAAGUGUGUAAAGUUUGUUUGAAGAAGUACCAUAGACAAUUUUAGGGUAGUUUGGUCCAUGGAACUUGGAAAACAAACACUUCAAAAGAAGAAAGAAAGAAAGAAAAUUUAACCAAAACAAGAAAAUUAGAAAGUGCUCUGUAAUUAAUUUAGACUUAUACAAUGAUAGGUAGUUAGCUAAUUAAUUAAAGCUGCUCUCAAUUCUGCCUAUGAGAGUGAGUGAUAAUGAUAACAGCACAGCAUAUAACAAAAAAAAAGAACAACUCAUCAGCUUCUGCAAAAUAUAGGAGUAAACUUAGAACCUAGAAAAUUACACUCAAGAGAAGAAAAGAAAAUUAGGUAUAUACACAACAAACCCAUAUCUUGAAUAUGUUCGCUAAACUAAUCUAUUGUAUUCAGAAAAAUAAGAAUGGAUGGAUAAAGGUAGCUAGCUAGCAGAACCCAAAAAAAGAAUGCAAGAUUCUGAAUCUUUAAGUUGAUCAAGAAUUCUUAUUAGGUAACAAACAGAUACCUGAAAGCUCUUGGACUGGAAACUGACAAGUGAAAAGUGAUAAAACAAACUUGUAUCGUGUUGUCCGAACAGUAGGAGAUAAAAGAGAAGAGAAAAAGAUUUAUAAGGAACAGAAAGUGGUUUGUGAUUGAUUGCAGGAAAGACUAAAAACAGAAAGAAAGAAUGAUUGGCGAGCUCCCAUCCCUCUACACCUAAUACCUCACAUGGCUUCACCUCUUAUUCUCGAAUCCCAAUGCCAUGAAUGAUAAAGAGAGAGUAUAUAUAGUACAAAGGAGUGGGAAAUGGGUGUGGGCUGUUGGCAAACAAGAAAAAGCAACAAAAACACUGAAGAAGAAGCAAAGAAAGAGAGGUAUAAGAAGAAAAUAUAUGUUGGAUUUUGAAGAGGUGUGUAGUAUUUAUGUAUAUAUAUCUUAC
rnacentral:lncRNA from 1 species